UAUUAUUCCGCUCGGAGGCUCGCGAAAUUUUGACAGAUUGCGAUAAAAGAAUACAAAAAAAACAAGUCUUGUACAUUUUUUGUAUUUUUUCAUCGCAAGCUGUCAAAACUUGUUUUUAUAGAAUUUGCUUUUGUGGUGUAAUAUUCGGAACUCCCAAACAAACCCGUAUUCAGUCGAUACAGCGUGUGAUUAUACAGCUGAAGAAGUCAGUACCGUGUUCAGUGCAUUGUAAUUUGUAAUAUCGAGCAGCAACCAUAGCGGACACACAUCAUCGAACACCAGCAACAGAAUACCAAGGUCACCAUGGUCAGAGAACGCAGUAAUAAUGGGGCAACAGUAAACAACAUCAAGAUGCUGGUAAAGGACUUUCUCUUUCGAACAAACAUUAUGGAAACCUGAGUGCUUACAUACACUCUGAUGGAAACGUCGUAUCCUCUACACGAACGUGUCCAAUCGCUGUGACUCGUUUGGAAAACAAACAAAAGAAGGCAUUGUUUUUUCCGCAAGGUCGCUCUGAGAAAAAUUUCAGCAAAUUGCAAGGAAUGAACCCCCGGAGGGGUACUGAUGUCGAUUCAGGACGUUUUCCCAUACAUUGUAGCUAUUGAAUUUUGAUACCCGGUCGAAACGAUGGCAAGCGCUGCCGAUAACUGGGUCAAAAAAGCGGAUGGUCAGUAAAUUUCUGU